rnacentral:pre_miRNA from 1 species
UUCCAUUCUGGGGCUGAGAAAAGUAGAAAAAUAGUGACUUCUGUUCACAAGUUUUUGUACAUUUUUUGCACUUUUCUCAGCCCCAGAGUGGAAA